CAGUCGCCGCGGUAAUACGGAGGGAGCUAGCGUUGUUCGGAAUUACUGGGCGUAAAGCGCACGUAGGCGGUUAUUCAAGUCAGAGGUGAAAGCCCGGGGCUCAACCCCGGAACUGCCUUUGAAACUAGAUGACUGGAAUCUUGGAGAGGUCAGUGGAAUUCCGAGUGUAGAGGUGAAAUUCGUAGAUAUUCGGAAGAACACCAGUGGCGAAGGCGACUGACUGGACAGGUAUUGACGCUGAGGUGCGAAAGCGUGGGGAGCAAACAGGAUUAGAUACCCCCGUAGUCCCUGUCUCUUAUAC
rnacentral:rRNA from 1 species